rnacentral:rRNA from 1 species
UACAGAGGUGGCAAGCGUUGUUCGGAAUUACUGGGCGUAAAGGGCGAGUAGGUGGCCAUCUAAGUCAGACGUGAAAUCCCCCGGCUUAACCUGGGAACUGCGUCUGAUACUGGACGGCUUGAGUAUGGGAGAGGAACGUAGAAUUCCAGGUGUAGCGGUGAAAUGCGUAGAUAUCUGGAGGAAUACCGGUGGCGAAGGCGGCGUUCUGGACCAUUACUGACACUGAAACGCGAAAGCUAGGGGAGCAAACGGG